rnacentral:rRNA from 1 species
CCACCGUAAGGUGAGAGGAAGUGGGGAGUGACGUCAAAUCAGCAGGCCCUUAUGUCCAGGGCUACACACGUGUUACAAUGGCCGGCACAGAGGGCAGCUACCUGGUGACAGGAUGCUAAUCUCGAAAACCGGUCUCAGUUCGGAUCGAAGUCUGCAACUCGACUUCGUGAAGCUGGAUUCGCUAGUAAUCGCGCAUCAGCCAUGGCCGCGGUUCCGAAUACGUUCCGGGCCUU